rnacentral:rRNA from 1 species
UACGGAGGAUGCAAGCGUUAUCCGGAAUUAUUGGGCGUAAAGCGUCCGCAGGUGGUUGAACAAGUCUGCUGUUAAAGCGCGGAGCUUAACUCCGUAAGGGCGGUGGAAACUGUUUAACUAGAGUACGGUAGGGGUAGCGGGAAUUCCUGGUGUAGCGGUGAAAUGCGUAGAGAUCAGGAAGAACAUCGGUGGCGAAGGCGCUCUGCUGGACCAUAACUGACACUCAGGGACGAAAGCUAGGGGAGCGAAUGGG